rnacentral:rRNA from 1 species
UACGAAGGGGGCUAGCGUUGCUCGGAAUCACUGGGCGUAAAGAGCUCGUAGGCGGCUCGGUAAGUCGGGUGUGAAACCUCCAGGCUCAACCUGGAGACGCCACUCGAUACUGCCGUGGCUAGAGUCCGGUAGAGGAGCGUAGAAUUCCUGGUGUAGCGGUGAAAUGCGCAGAUAUCAGGAGGAAUACCAGCGGCGAAGGCGGCGCUCUGGGCCGGAACUGACGCUGAGGAGCGAAAGCGUGGGGAGCAAACAGG